GCAGAGGUGGCGGAACUGGCAGACGCGCCAGCUUGAGGGGCUGGUGGUCCAACGACUGUGAGGGUUCAAAUCCCUUUCUCUGCA
rnacentral:tRNA from 1 species